CUGGAAUGGGCAAUGACUUAAAUCUAUAUGGCCCCUGGAUUGGACUGCGGCCGAUCAGGCUGUUGGUGAGGUAAUGGCCCACCAAACCUGUAACCGGUACGGGCUCUGAGAGGAGGAGCCCGGAGAUGGGCACUGAGACAAGGGCCCAGGCCCUAUGGGGCGCAGCAGGCGCGAAACCUCUGCAAUAGGCGAAAGCCUGACAGGGUUACUCUGAGUGAUUUCCGUUAAGGAGAUCUUUUGGCACCUCUAAAAAUGGUACAGAAUAAGGGGUGGGCAAGUCUGGUGUCAGCCGCCGCGGUAAUACCAGCACCCCGAGUGGUCGGGACGUUUAUUGGGCCUAAAGCAUCCGUAGCCGGUUCUGCAAGUCUUCCGUUAAAUCCACCUGCUUAACAGAUGGGCUGCGGAAGAUACUAUAGAGCUAGGAGGCGGGAGAGGCAAGCGGUACUCGAUGGGUAGGGGUAAAAUCCGUUGAUCCAUUGAAGACCACCAGUGGCGAAGGCGGCUUGCCAGAACGCGCUCGACGGUGAGGGAUGAAAGCUGGGGGAGCAAACCGGAUUAGAUACCCGGGUAGUCCCAGCUGUAAACGAUGCAGACUCGGUGAUGAAUUGGCUUUAUGCCAAUUCAGUGCCGCAGGGAAGCCGUUAAGUUCGCCGCCUGGGGAGUACGGUCGCAAGACUGAAACUUAAAGGAAUUGGCGGGGGAGCACCACAAGGGGUGAAGCCUGCGGUUCAAUUGGACUCAACGCCGGU
rnacentral:rRNA from 1 species